GCGGGUCCAGAUUGGUUCCGCCCCCGCCCAGCUGUUCCCAUGGCAACCAGGGUCGUUGCUUGGCUGGACCAGCCGGCGAGCCAGGCUCCCGGGCGCCACCUGGUGGCCUUUCUGGUGGCGAGGGGUGCCCGAGGUGCUCACCUCCAGAAUCCAGCCACCACUUUUUGAGGAAGCCCAGGCCACAUGGAGAGGCCACAUGUAGGAGUUCCAGCCCACAGCACCAGCUAAGAUUUCAGCUGCUCCAGCCAGUGUUGACUGCCAGACAAGUGAGUGAAGAAGAUGAUUCCAGCCUUCAGAAUUCCAACUGAGGACCCAGACAUUAAGAAGCAGAGAUAAUGAGUCUGGAAUAUGAAUUUGAUGGCUGGUAUUCCAGCUGCCAUCUUGGACCAUGAGGAUGGAGCCACACCCUAGGGAUGGCAGAGUGGGAACCUGAGGCUUUCCUGCUGCCAAGAUGCUCACCUGGACUUUUAAGUG